GGCGCCCGCUGUCCCCCUCAGUGGGGCGCUGGCGCGCGGGGUAGAGCGACCUGCUGUCUGUGGGAGAGCCGCGCCCGCCUCAGCAGGGAGGAGUGCUCUGCGCGGCUGGCGAUGAGCAGCGCGGGGGGCGAGGGGCCUGAGGCCGGUACUGGCCGGGCCGGGGGCCGUUCUGAGCCCGAGGCCCCGGGCAGCGCGCUGAGUGUGGACUUGCCGGGGCUGCUGGGGCAGCUGGCGCGCAGUUUUGCGCUGCUGCUGCCGGUGUACGCCCUCGGCUACCUGGGAUUGAGCUUCAGUUGGGUGCUGCUGGCGCUCGGGCUGCUCGCCUGGUGCCGCCGGAGCCGCGGCCUCAAGGCCAGCCGCCUGUGUCGCGCACUGGCACUGUUGGAGGACGAGGAGCAAGCCGUGCGCCUGGGAGUGCGAGCCUGCGACCUGCCCGCCUGGGUUCAUUUUCCAGACACUGAAAGAGCAGAAUGGCUAAAUAAGACUGUAAAGCACAUGUGGCCUUUUAUUUGUCAGUUUAUUGAGAAGCUCUUUCGAGAAACCAUAGAGCCAGCUGUGCGCGGAGCAAAUGCCCACCUCAGCACCUUCAGCUUCACGAAAGUGGAUGUGGGUCAUCAG
rnacentral:lncRNA from 1 species